rnacentral:lncRNA from 1 species
AAUUCUUAGCCAUGAAUCACAGGGAUGGCCAUGGUGCUGACCGUGUCUGAGAUCCUUGAGGCCUGUCCACAAUGCUCAUGUCCCCACUUCUUUCCUCAGGCAAGGAAACUCUAUAUCAACCUUCGAAAGUUGCUUGUGGGCACACUGUGAUGUGGAAUGAAGCAGGCAAUCCCUGUGAAAGGGUUGUCCAGUGUAACUGAUCAAGACAACACCAAAACAAGACCCUGGAACUAGGUCAAGCUGUUCCCAGACAACAGACUUUUAGACUCUCUGCUUCAGUUGUGCCCGGGCAAGCCAGGGCUUGUGUUGAAAUGUUGUGAGGAAAGGACUCUCUUUCACACACCCCUACCUUCUGGUCUGUUGCCUCCCAGGAGAGAACAACCCUCUGAGAGAACCGGACAGCACCCUCCAUGGUCUCCAUGACUUUGACCUCGCUUAAACCACUCUGAGGUCUGACAGGCCUGGAGGUUUAGAGAUUUGGGCCUCAGACUGUGGCUUCUAUGAUGGACACCAUCCAAGGAAUCACCCACAUGACUUCACUGAAGGGAGACCGAGCUAUGUAGGGCAGGAUCCCACCAGGAAAAAGCAAACUUCUCCAAACAAUUCUCACAGACCGAACUGAAUACAGGAAGUUGGUUGUACUGGAGCGGGGACUUCUGGGAAGUCAAGAGAGGCGAAGAAACAUCCAGAUGUCUGCCAGAGCAUCGAGCCUCCAUGACCUCAGGCAGUCGGGGACAUGCUUACAUCCCUGGAAACAGUUAUUGAAGGAGAAAGGGAAAUGGAGAGGGGGUAAGGGAGAAGGAGAGGGAGAGAAAGGUAGAGGGAGGUGGAGAGAGAGGGAGAGAAAGAAGCGAGAAAGAGGAAGAAGAAGGAGAAGCAGACAGGGACAGAGAGGGAGGGGGAGAGAGGGGAGAGGGUAUCUUGCCUGCUGUCACUCUCAUUGGCCCUCAAGAGGCAAGAGGCCAAGAAAGGCAGGUGCUGUGGUCUGGAUGUUUUUGGCCUCUCCAAAAUGCAAGUUGAUAUUUAAUUUUAAAUGCAUCAGUAUUGGGAGUUGUGGCCUCCGAGAGUCCACAGAGUCCCAGGACUUUGCCCACAAGGCAGAUUAGGUGUCUUUAUAAAAAGGUUUGAUGGAGGAGGCCCUUCCUUUCCUGCUUCCACUCUUGGCCAUGUGAGGCCACAGCAUCGGUCCACUCCAGAGGCUCUAGCACUCAAAGUACCAUCUUUGAAACAGAGGCAGAGAGCGCUCUCUCCAGAAAAGCAACUCACCUUCACCUUGCUGGAGGCUUUCCCAUCCUUCAGAGCUGUAAGAAGUAAGUCUAAGGGUUUCUGAAGCAGGCUGUCUGUCUGGGGUUUUCUGCUUAGCAUCUCAGAGAGACCGCGUGCGACAGAAAACAUGGCAGUUGCUUCUACACAACCCUGGCUGAGUAUCUGUGGGAGCAGCUUCAAUGAGGAAGGGGUGAUUUCUCAGAGGUCCUUGGCUCUGUUGAUUCUGGGCCUGUGAUGUGGCCCAGCAUCGGGGCUGCAGGACUCUGAGAAAGAGAAACUGUUUGCCCCAUCAAGUACAGAAAAAAGUGUGGGCAGAUGAGAUGAAGCACUUCAGUGGGUGAAGCACUUGCCACCAAGUCUCAGGACCUGAGUUCUGUCCUCAUAUCCCACAUAUUUAGAGAGUAAAACCAACUCUUAAGAGUUGUCUUCUGACUCUGGCAAUCAUGGUAUGGCAUUCGCACAUACAUAUAUGCACACACAUGCACACACACAAACAUGUUCAGUCACCAACACACACAAUAAAUAUGUUUGUGUGUAUAUACAUGUAUAUAUACAUGUAUAUGUAUACAUAGAUAUGUAUGUAUAUACAUAUAUAUAUGUAUAUACACACAUAUAUGUAUAUGUGUGUAUACAUAGAUAUGUAUACAUAUACAUAUCUAUGUAUGUGUAUAUAUAUAUAUACACACACAUAUGGACCAAGCACUCAAUUGUGAGCCCACAGAAGACAUCACGCAUUCAAGCCUUAGCAGAAGAUAAGACAUGAAACCGAGUACACAUUGACCACUGUGUGCUCCAAGCGCAGGAAGCUGAACUAUAUUGGGACCUCAGAUCAUCUGGGAUAAAUGCUCCUUCCAUGCAAAGCUCAGAGCUUUCUAAGAAAUACACACAGGGCCAAGAUGGGUUCUGUACUUAUGAAGACCCCAGAUUUAUCCUCAGAACCCACAUUUAAAAGCCAAAUGAGAGCCUUGCAGAGAACCAAAAUUCAGUUCCCAGCACCCACAUGGCAGUUCACGACCAUCUAUAACUCCAAUUCUAGAUCUGAUGCUCUGGUCUGGCCUCAGCAGAUAUCAGGGACACACUUGGUACACAGAUGCAGGCAAAACAGCCAUAAGCAAAAAUUAAAAAUAAACAAAAUUGCUUUGAACUGGCUAUGGUGACAUACAUUUGUAAACCCAAUAUGGUAGAGGUAGAGAUGGGAAGUUUCCUGG